CGACUGAACGGGGCAAUCGCGCGGUAUGUUGCCGAAAGGUAUUACCGUGAGGAAAGUCCGGGCUUCAUAGGGCAGGAUAACGGAUAACGUCCGCCUGGGGUGACCCACGGGAAAGUGCAACAGAAAUAAACCGCCGCGUCUGCGGUAAGGAUGGAAAGGCGAGGUAAGAGCUCACCCGAAUUUAUGGUAACAUAGGUUCGCUGUAAACCCUAUCCGAAGCAACACCUUGAUCUCCGUUUUAUCGGACGGCUGCCCGCCGUUUUCAUGGUGGCAGAGCCUUUCGGCUCGAACUGUGCGGUAACGCUCAGUGAAGAUAGAUGAUUGCUGCGCCGAAAGGCGUACAGAACCCGGCUUACAAGUUCAGUCACUUA
rnacentral:RNase_P_RNA from 1 species